rnacentral:rRNA from 1 species
AAAUUACCCAAUCGUGACACAGGGAGAUAGUGACGAAGAAUAACAAUACAGGGCGAAUGUCUUGUAAUUGGAAUGAUGGUGACCCAAACCCUCACCAGAGUAGCAAUUGGAGGGCAAGUCUGGUGCCAGCAGCCGCGGUAAUUCCAGCUCCAAUAGCGUAUAUUAAACUCGUUGCAGUUAAAAAGCUCGUAGUUGUAUUUUUGCGUUAGCGGUUUGACCAUUUGGUUGGUUAUUUCGUUAUCGCUUUUGGGAAUUUCCCUUUUUACUUCGAGAA